CCUUUUUCGCCCUUCGGUAAUUCCAGCUCCCCGAGUGGUACCGACGAUUAUUGGGCCUAAAGCGUCCGUAGCCGGCUUGAUAAGUUUCCCGUUAAAUCCGACGAUCUAAUCGUCGGGCUGCGGGAAAUACUGUUAGGCUAGGAGGCGGGAGAGGCCGGCAGUACUUUUGGGGUAGGGGUGAAAUCCUAUAAUCCCAGAAGGACUACCAGUGGCGAAGGCGGCCGGUCAGAACGCGCUCGACGGUGAGGGACGAAAGCUGGGGGAGCGAACCGGAUUAGAUACCCGGGUAGUCCCAGCCGUAAACGAUGCGGGCUAAGUGUCGGGAUGGCUUUAAAGCCAUUUCGGUGCUGCAGGGAAGCCGUUAAGCCCGCCGCCUGGGUAGCACGGCCGCAAGGUUGAAACUUAAAGGAAUUGGCGGUGGAGCACCACAAGGGGUGAAGCUUGCGGUUUAAUUGGAGUCAACGCCGGAAACCUCACCGGAGGGGACAGCUGAAUGAAAGCCAGAUUGAAAGGUCUUGCUAGACUAACUGAGAGGAGGUGCAUGACCGUCGCCAGUUCGUACCGAGAGGUAUCCCGUUAAGUCGGGAAACGAGCGAGACCCACACCUCUAGUUGCCAGCAGGUCCUUUAGGAUGCUGGGCACUCUAGGGGGACUGCCGUCGAUAAGGCGGAGGAAGGAGUGGGCCACGGCAGGUCAGUAUGCCCCGAAUCCUUCGGGCCACACGUGAGCUGCAAUGGUAUGGACAAUGGGCUCCGACUCCGAAAGGAGAAGGUAAUCCCCAAACCAUGCCUCAGUUGGGAUCGAGGGCUGAAACCCGUCCUCGUGAACAUGGAAUCCCUAGUAAUCGCGUGUCAUUAGCGCGCGGUGAAUACGUCCCUGCUCCUUGCACACACCGCCCGUCGCUCCAACCGAGUUGAGUUUAGAUGAGGCGUAGUCAAGUUGGAUCUGUCGAAUCUAAGCUCAGCAAGAGGGGAGAAGUCUUAAGGGGGUAACC
rnacentral:rRNA from 1 species